rnacentral:rRNA from 1 species
AGGUCUUUGCCUGCCCAGUGACUAGUUAAACGGCCGCGGUAUCCUGACCGUGCGAAGGUAGCGCAAUCACUUGUCUUUUAAAUGAAGACCUGUAUGAAUGGCGGAACGAGGGCUUAACUGUCUCCCUUUUCAAGUCAAUGAAAUUGAUCUGCCCGUGCAGAAGCGGGCAUACAAACACAAGACGAGAAGACCCUUUGGAGCUUAAGAUACAAAAUCAACUACAUCAAGGGCACACAAGCCAAACCAAGUAGCACCUGAUAAAUAUCUUCGGUUGGGGCGACCACGGGAGAAAACAAAGCUCCCAUGCGGACUGGGGCAACCCCCUAAAACCAAGAAAGACAUUUCUAAGUCACAGAACAUCUGACCAUAAAGAUCCGGCCACCCGCCGAUCAACGGACCAAGUUACCCUAGGGAUAACAGCGCAAUCCCCUUUCAGAGUCCAUAUCGACAAGGGGGUUUACGACCUCGAUGUUGGAUCAGGACAUCCUAUUGGUGCAGCCGCUAUUAAGGGUUCGUUUGUUCAACGAUUAAAGUCCUACGUGAUCU